rnacentral:rRNA from 1 species
UACGAAGGGGGCUAGCGUUGUUCGGAAUUACUGGGCGUAAAGGGCGCGUAGGCGGCGUGUCAAGUCAGGCGUGAAAGCCCCGGGCUCAACCUGGGAACCGCGCUUGAGACUGGCAUGCUCGAGUUCGGGAGAGGAUGGUGGAAUUCCCAGUGUAGAGGUGAAAGUUUCGUAGAUAUUGGGAAGAACACCGAUGGCGAAGGCGGGUCUCUGGGGCAGGUAA